rnacentral:misc_RNA from 1 species
AAGUCGUAACAAGGUUUCCGUAGGUGAACCUGCGGAAGGAUCAUUAACAGUUUAUGUUGUUUGUGUCAUCGUUGUUGUGAUGUGUGAUUGUAUGACUUGCCAUUUUUUGGCAAUGUUAUCCUUUUUUUAACCAUGUUUUUUACAUAUUCUUAUACCAUACCAUAUAUACAAUUAUCGAAAACUGCCAGCAAUGGAUCACUCGGUUCUU